rnacentral:rRNA from 1 species
UAUUGAAAUAAGAUUUUAAUUGAAUGCUAAGAGAAUGGAAGUCCAGAAAAAAACUUUUUUUAAAUUAAAAAUUGAAGUUUUUUUAAUUUGUGCAGAAACAAUUAUUUAUAUUAAGGACAAGAAGACCCUAUGAAUUUAUUAAAUUUUUAUUUAAUAUGUAAUUACUAUUAAAAAAAUUUUGGCUGGGGCGGCUAAAAAAUAUUAUAAACUUUUUAAAAAUAAAAUGAUCCACUAUUAAUGAUUUUAUGUUAAAUACUCUAGGGAUAACAGCGUUAUAUUUUUUGUUAUAUUUUUUGUUAUAUUUUUUG